rnacentral:rRNA from 1 species
UACGUAGGGUCCGAGCGUUGUCCGGAAUUAUUGGGCGUAAAGAGCUCGUAGGCGGUUUGUCGCGUCUGCCGUGAAAACCCGAGGCUUAACCUCGUGGCUUGCGGUGGAUACGGGCAGACUAGAGGUAGGUAGGGGAGAAUGGAAUUCCCGGUGUAGCGGUGAAAUGCGUAGAGAUCGGGAGGAACACCAGUGGCGAAGGCGGCUACCUGGACCAGCACUGACACUGAGGCACGAAAGCGUGGGGAGCAAACAGG